CCGCGACAAGAUGGCGAUGCCCGCCUUUGUCAGCCAGGACCGCGCCGUCCGCGCCGGGGCUGAAAACAAAGGCCGGCUCUGGCGACCAGUGUAGAGGAAAACGGGCCGGGCUCCUGGGUUCUCUUGAUGCCACCGUGCAGGGAGGGGACGUCCUGCCCAGAGCACUCAGAGGGUGGCCUAGCCUUUGCGUGUCUCCACUGCCUCGGGUUCCCCUGGGGAACUGCAGCUUAGCUUUUGACCUUUUGAUACAUUCGAACUGAACAUUUUUUUCCAGGUUUUUUUAAACCACAGGGUUAGCAUCCCAAAAUAGCAUCCCUAUAUGUGCUCAGCUCGUCUUUAAAGAGGUUAUGCCAGAAUUUUUGAGAGGAGAAUUAGUGGGACUUCAUUUUAAUUAAUUGUUUAGUGCAAUGCUAUUUUGCCUGAAUGUCUGUCUUUGUGUGUAUAUGAAGGUGUCAGAUUCCCUGGAACUGGAGUUAAGAGUCAUUAGCUGACGUGUGGGUGCUGGGAACUGAACCUCGGGCCCUUUGGAAGAUCAGCCAAACCCCUGAACCAUCUCUCCAGCCCAGAAUUAGUAGAAUUUAUAACUAAGUAUAUUAAAGACACUUGUUCGUGAAUAUUGAAAUUUCAGAUAAUUUGUAGUGUUGGUUUGGUAGUAGUAGUACUUUGUAUUGUUAUGUUUCGAUCUGAUAGCAAUCAAGCCUUUUUGUGUAUAGCCUGUGAGAUUUACUGUUAACUAAGAAAAUAUGUAGUCAGUCCAUCAUGAUGAGCAAAUGGCAGUGUUAAUGCUGUGAAAAGUUCCAUUUCACUGUGUAGACUAAAUGUGGUCCUCAGAGAAGGCAUUAAUCAGUUUUUGAAUAGUUUGUUUUGUUUUUACAUGUGAAGCUAUAGUGGUGGUGGGAGAAACAGCCUUUAUUUAAAGAUGAGGCUUUUAGUUUUCAUAUUAAGAUGUCUUCUGGAUUCUUCUCGAAGGUAUUUCAUAUUGCAAAAAGAAAAUGUCUUACACUGGGUGUUUGGCCAGGGAUGGAAAUGUAAAGACGGGCUUUGAGUCCCUAGACAGCAGAACUAGGUUCUGGCUUCUUGAUAUGAUUUAGGGAGAUUGAUCCUGCACAGACCUGUGCAGGAAUGCUGUGCAACUGGGAAGGCACUGAUCUCCGUGUAUCUAGAGAGGCUAGACGUCGGUGUAGGGUUCUGCCUGCACUUAUUUCACUGCUACAGUGUGCUAUCUUUCUUAGAAGGUGAGAGUCUGGAAAGUCAAAAGUAGGUUUUCUGGGACUGUGUGCUCAUACCUGCUGCCUGCUCCUGGGUUUAAUGUCAUAGUCCCAGUGUCAGGAUUGUAUUUGAUCUGCUGGUUCUUCGAAAGGAUCGUUUUUUACACAGGAGAUUUAACUUGCAACUUUGACAGUGUCUUCCAUGAAUGAGCUCAUCCACUGGAUACAAACAGUUCUUAUAUAGCAUCUGAGCUGACAUCAAAGCUUUAUUUGUUUAAUUGGAGUAGUGCAGAGUACCCCUUAAGCACGCUUUGUAAAAAGGCUUUUCUUUGUUUGAUAGCCUUAGUUAUAUCUGAUUUGGGAGAAAGGGAGAUCAGGUAAAUUGCCUUAGAUUUAUAAGGUUGCAGAAUAAACCAGAUGUGGUAGGAUAUUCUCUAAUCCCAGCACUCUGGACAGCCUGGUCUACCUGUAGAUGACACUUUGUUCAAACCCUCCCUUUCCCCAAAGGCUGCAUAAUGGUGGUUUUGUCUCGUUUUUAAGAGUCAAAACUUCACAUCUAUUAGUGAGGAUGAUUUCUGGGAUUAUUCAGGUGCAUUUAUAUUGAUCACUGGAGAAACAGGCUUACUUAGAGAAGAUACUCUUUCAAAAGAAGUGGUGCACGGAGGUACUGAAGAUUUAUUAAUUUCACUUAGUUAAAGAUGCUGGGCUGGACGUUCAGGUACUCGAUGCCAACCAAGCCUGUUAGAUCCCUGAAGCCCCUCUGGGAAAAGGGAAAACGCACUUCUUCAAGGCCUCUGCCACCCAUGCACAGACUUGCACUAUGCAAGUAUAAUUUAAGAAAAUCUAUUAUCCAUUGGUAUUACUGGAAAGUUAACGGCUCGGCUCUAAAUGUGGCUUUGAGAAAGGCAUGAGCAGUCUGCAAUCACCUACUGUCAUCUGGCUGUGUGGCCAGGGCUUACCGUGUGAGCCGCAACAGUUUUGUUUUAGAAGUGUAGUAUCUGCAGUUAUUAGUUUGUUCAUUGGAUUGUUUUUCUCUGCCCAACAGAUUUGGCUCAUGUCAGUCACCAAAUUGGAUUAAAUUCUUUAUGUGGGCUUUGGUUUUAGCAUUAGUGGAUUGGUAAUAGAUAUUCUCGAUUUUAUUAUCUGGACUUGACCAUAUGGUGUGCCGUCCCCUUUAGUUUUUAAAAGGCCAUCAUACCCAGGCUGUCCUGGUAUUCACCAUGCAGACCAGGCUGGCCUCUAACCUCUGGUGAUCCUCCUUCCUCAGCUUCCAAAGUGCUAGGAUUCAGGCCUGAGACAUCAUGGCCAGUUUUAUGCCAUAUUAUUUAAAAACUUUUAGCAUGGAACAAAACUUUUUAGAUUUUUGGUUUUUUUUUUAAUUAAAAAUUUUUUUCCAGUAUUUUAUGGGUAUGAGUAUUUUGCUUGAAUGUAUAUGUGUACCUAUGUGUGCUUGGUUCCUGUAGACGCCAGAAGGCUGAGAACUGAGAAUAAAACCCAAGUCCUCUGCAAGAGGAGCAAGUACUCUGAUAGCUGAGUCGGCAUUCCAGCUCAUUUUCUUAAUUUUUAAUUUUUAUUUUAUUUAUUUAUUUAUUUACUUAUUUUCUUCUUUUUUCUUUUUUUCAGAGCUGGGGACCGAACCCAGGGCCUUGCGUUUGCUAGGCGAGUGCUCUACCACUGAGCUAAAUCCCCAACCCCAAUUUUUAAUUUUUAAAUCUUUAAUUUUUCCUAAUUCUUUUUUCUGGAGGGGUCUUGAGUGCUGGGACCAUAGCUGGCAUCUUCUUAAUUCUUAGUUUUGUUUUAAGUCUGAUUUUAGGAGCUGGUGGUGUGUAUUUGUGAUCUCAGCACUUGGGAAGUGGGGGCAGGAUUAGGAGGUGUUCAAGGUCAUUAGCUACAUAGUCACUGAGGCCAGACUGAGCUACACGAGAUCCUAUUUGAGUAAUUCCAGGUUUGCAUUCCGGUGUUUGCUUUGUUUAAGAGACAGAGCUCACUAUGUUGCUUAGGCUACUCUUGAAAUACUCGAGGCUCUCAUCCCUCAAUUUUCCCAUUAUAUUCUUCCCAGAGCUGUUUGUUAUUAAGAAUAUUUGUAGAGGUUAUGAAGUAGAAGGAGAAAACAUUUAAAUUAAAGCAUUCACAAAACAUAUGCUAAGUAGUGAUGGGAAAAUGGUCCUAUGAUAUUGUAUGGAUUUAUAUGUGAUGAAAGGAUGUAUCAUAUUAACUGUUCUGAAAUAGGAAUGGGGACCACGCUUUUUUUUUUUUUUUUUUCCUUUUUUUCAGAUCUGGGGAUCGAACCCAGGGCCAAGCGCUCUACCACUGAGCUAAAUCCCCAACCCCCAGGGACCAUGCUUUUUUAAAGUUUGAAUCUUGUUGCAUAACUCAUUUAAGAAAUGCAGACUUCUUAGACAUUGGAGUUGGUCACUGGGUAAGAGGACUGCUGACUGCUCUUUUACCUCCUUGUACAGUACUGGCUUUAGGGAGCCAUGUUGAUCCCCUGAUGCUGCUUUUGGCUUCCAUGGCAUUCUUUUAUAGAAUACAGUUGCCUUUCUACCUCCCAAAGGGUUUCUCUGUGUAUCCCUGGCAGUCCAUCUGCCUCUGCCUUCCAAGUGUUGGGUUUAAAGACAUGUACCACCACCUGUGUACCCCCUUCCCCCUCCAGUUUACCUUUUCUUUGUCUUUGGGGUGGUUCCCCCCCCCCCCCCCAGCUGGGGACCGAACCCAGGGCCUUGCUCUACCACUGAACUAAAUCCCCAACCCCUGGGGUGGUUCUUUUAAGACAGGGUUUGUCUGUCUUGGGACUUGUAGACCAGACUGGCCUUGAACUCAAGAUGUUUAAUU
ensembl:lncRNA